CACCGUCCUGGAGGUAGUUGUGCUUGGUUUCAGGGUCGGAAGAACCGCCCGCGCUGGAAAAACUGGACAGGCCUUCACGCUGCUCCUCCAAGUGCAGGAGAGGAGGUUCCUCCGCAUGCUAGCUGAAGCUGGGGUGCCAGAGAUGGCACGGCACAACAUCCCCAGCGAGCUCCUGCAGCCGCUGGUCCCACGGUACGAGGCGGCCUUGUCCCAGCUGGAGCGAGCUGUCACGGAAGAGCGAAGGCAGAAGGCGCCCUGACAGGCUUGGGGGACAGGCAGGCUGAGCCCACCGCAGAGCAGACCCUUCCCAGCCCAUGCCUCCUGCUGGGCAGAGACACCUCAUUUCCAGAAAAGUCCUGAGCAGUGGCUGAUGGAUAUGUGAGCGAAAGACUGUUUCCUUGGAUUUCGGAAGGAACAGCCAGCGGAAAGGGCCUCCUCCUGCCAGGCCCUGGACGUGGUCGCUGCAGCAGGCCUGGUGCUGGGCAAGCUCGGGCCUGGGAGAAACCGCUGAGGUUACGGCAAACCUGAUGGGGCAGCAUCUGGGGUGUAGCCUUGGGCCCGUUAAUAGGACCCUGGGUGUCCUCAGGACGUCUGCCACCCGCCAUCCUGCACAUCGUGAGCCAUUCCCGGCACUGUCACAGUGCGAAGUGUCUCCACCCACGCGGUGUGGGCACAGCCCCGACCACGCAGCGGGGGGGUCUCCACACGGGGACGAGGCCAACCUCACUGCCCGCCGGGACGUGCGUCGUGAGUGUAACGGAAAACAGGCUUCAGGAGCGCUGACCCGCUGUUUGUGUAAAGAUUUUGUUUUCAGAAUCAUGUGCUGAUAUUAAACUAAAAAACCAGGAUCAGG